rnacentral:rRNA from 1 species
GCCAAACAGCUAGCUCAACUAACCAAUAACUAAACAAUGUAAAUAAAACAAAAUAAGCCUAACACCAAAAAUUAAACCAUUCUUUUACCUUAGUAUGGGCGACAGAAAAGGUCACACCCGGAGCAAUAGAAAAAGUACCGCAAGGGAAAGCUGAAAGAGAAAUGAAAUAACUCAUAUAAGCACCAAAAAGCAAAGAUUAAAUCUUGUACCUUUCGCAUCAUGAUUUAGCCAGUAUACCCAAGCAAAGAGACCUUUAGUUUGAAACCCCGAAACCAAGUGAGCUACCCCGAGACAGCCUAUUAAGGGCCAACCCGUCUCUGUGGCAAAAGAGUGGGAAGAGCUCCGGGUAGAGGUGACAAACCUACCGAGCUUGGUGAUAGCUGGUUGCCUAAGAAGUGAAUAGAAGUUCAGCCUCGUGCUCCCCAAAUCAAAGAGUAGAGAAAGAUGCUAGAGGGAAAUAUAUGAGAGUUAGUUAAAGGGGGUACAGCCCCUUUAACAAAGGACACAACCUUUCCAGGAGGAUAAAGAUCAUAAUACAUAAGACAUACUGUUCUAGUGGGCCUAAAGGCAGCCAUCUAAACAGAAAGCGUUAAAGCUCAGACAGAAAUAAGUUUAUUAUUCCGACAAGAAAUCUUACUCCCCUAAAUAUUAUUAGGCCAGCCCAUGCCCACAUGGGAGAGACUAUGCUAAAAUGAGUAACAAGAAGGCCAGCCCUUCUCCAAGCACAAGUGUAAGCCAAACCGGACUCACCAUUGGCAAUUAACGAACUCAACCCAAGAGAGCAAUGUGAACUGCAACGAAGCCAGGAAGAACCCACAAUCAACCCAUCGUUACCCCCACACUGGUGUGCUAUUAAAGGAAAGACUAAAAGAAGGGGAAGGAACUCGGCAAACACAAGCCUCGCCUGUUUACCAAAAACAUCGCCUCCUGCAACACAACCAAGUAUAGGAGGUCCAGCCUGCCCAGUGACUACAAGUUCAACGGCCGCGGUAUUUUGACCGUGCAAAGGUAGCGCAAUCACUUGUCUCUUAAAUAGAGACCUGUAUGAAUGGCUAAACGAGGGCUUAACUGUCUCCCCCCUCCAGUCAGUGAAAUUGAUCUACCCGUGCAGAAGCGGG